UUAUAUGCGCACAACACAUCGCAUGGUGAUAUGGCAUAUCAUUGAUGACUGUAGAAAACAUAACGGUUUGUGACUUUUAAAUUUAUCAAAUGAAUUCUAGACCAUUUCUUUGCUUAAAAUAUGAGAUUUUAUCACAGUAAAGAAAAUGUAAAUUCUCAAAUACAUGUGUGAUUACUAAUGCAGAAAUGUCUGGAGAGAAAUGUGUUCAAAAAAUUUACCAAUAAGGUCGCUUGCACUUGCAGUAAUUGUUAAACCAAAUACAGAUUCGCAACUAACAGUUUAGAAUCAAUAAAAGGCUCGUCGAUCAUCAUGUUCAUGAAAAAAUUUAUUCUAUUCUUUAUUAUACUUCAGCGCAACAGUCAUGUAAAAAGGAAAGACAAAUAAGUUCUUAAUUAUACAUUAUAAUUAUUGUAACUUCUAGAAUGCAAGAUACUUCCGAAUUAAAUGCGAUAUAAUUGCGAUUUGCACCACAGAAAAAAUAUUAUAUAUAUGUAUAAAUGCAUAGUUCUGGAUAUAUAUAGAGGUAACUUAUUGAGAUAUAAUUACUUUGUUCUAAAAUUUUAUGUAUAGAAUGAAGAUAUAUAUGAGAUCGUAAAAUUCAACCUUCUAUUAGUAUGAUUCAGCGACACUGAAAAAUUCUAGAACACUGAAAAAUUCUAGAACAUUUUAUUUUGUAACACUAACAGAAGGUCAAAAGAACCGAAAAACUGAGAUAUAUAAAAAAAAUGUAGUUAAGAAAAAAAAGAUUUCAUCGAGGAUAAAAGAUGCAGCUUCUUAUGUAAUUAUAGGAUAUAAUUAUGAGUUUGAUAAAGCUUUUUCGGUUCUCUUAUGUUUUGAGCAUUAAAAUAAAUACAAUUAACUAUAGAAAAAUGGAGCAGUUUCAAUCACAAUAAAGCUUUGAUGUAAAGACAUUAUUAUGUGCGUCUUUAAAAUAUAUAACUUUGUAUGAUUCUUGCACAAGCUGCCCCAUCUUAAUGUAUUUUCAAAUAUGUAUUAUUAUAUUCAUAAGGCACAUGACUUAUGUUAAAGUAUAGAUUAUUUUCCGAAGUACAUACGAAGAUUAUUAUACAUAUUGAUAUACAAUGUACACAUAUAUGGAAACAUGGCAAUCAUUUGACUGGAUGAAUCCAAUUCACGUGUUGUCAUGCUCAUCAGUCUUAUUUUUGCUAAACUUUUAAUACAACACAGGUAUAAAAAGCAGCACUUAAAAUUUCCAAUACUAUUUUAUAACUAUUGUUCAUUUGAAAAUCAUUCCUGACAAUAUAUUGUUAUAUAAAUUAUUUGCACGACCAUGAUAGACUUCAAGUGUUUUUGCAUAUUUAUUAUAUUUUUAAUAAAGAAUUAUGAAUAUGCACUACAAAAAAAUAGGAAGCACUUUUUAGACGCUUAGAAUUAAACAAUUUUCAAACCGCUAAAACUCGCAGACAAAAUAUUAAAAAAGUAUUUUAAAGCUAAUCUUGAAGUUUGUAUUUUCAUAUAAGUUAGAUUAUUUUUUGAAAAUUUUAUUUUAUUUUUUUUUUAGCCCCCAAAAAAGCAUAUUGUUUUGUUCCUUAAAAUUAUGUUUUAUCAACACCAUGCAGCUCGAUAAGAAAA